rnacentral:rRNA from 2 species
AACUGCGAGUGAAGCGGGAAAAGCUCAAAUUUAAAAUCUGGCGGUCCUUGGCUGUCCGAGUUGUAAUUUAGAGAAGCGUCUUCCGCGCCGGACCGUGCACAAGUCUCCUGGAAUGGAGCGUCGUAGAGGGUGAGAAUCCCGUCUUUGGCAUGGACGCCCGGUGCUUCUGUGAUGCGCUCUCGAAGAGUCGAGUUGUUUGGGAAUGCAGCUCAAAAUGGGUGGUGAACUCCAUCUAAAGCUAAAUAUUGGCGAGAGACCGAUAGCGAACAAGUACCGUGAGGGAAAGAUGAAAAGCACUUUGGAAAGAGAGUGAAACAGUACGUGAAAUUGUUGAAAGGGAAACGCUUGAAGUCAGUCGCGUUGACCGAGACUCAGCCUUGCCUUGGCUUGGUGUACUUCUCGGCUUGACGGGUCAGYGUCGAUUUUGCCCCUCGGAUAAUGGCAAGGGAAAGGUGGCACCUUUGCGGGUGUGUUAUAGUCUCCUGUCGCAUGUGAGGGGUGAGAUCGAGGAACUCAGUGCGCGCCUCUGGCGUCGGGGCYUUUUG